GAAAUGCGAUAAUUAAUGUGAAUUGCAGAAUUCAGUGAAUCAUCGAGUCUUUGAACGCACAUUGCGCCCCCUGGUAUUCCGGGGGGCAUGCCUGUCCGAGCGUCAUUGCUGCCCUCAAGCACGGCUUGUGUGUUGGGCUUCCGUCCCUGGCAACGGGGACGGGCCCAAAAGGCAGUGGCGGCACCAUGUCUGGUCCUCGAGCGUAUGGGGCUUUGUCACCCGCUCCCGUAGGUCCAGCUGGCAGCUAGCCUCGCAACCAAUCUUUUUAACCAGGUUGACCUCGGAGCAGGUAGGGAUACCCGCUGAACUUAAGC
rnacentral:misc_RNA from 1 species